CCCCUGGACGAUGAAGAGAUGGUCUCCUACAUAAUCACUGACCUCCAACUUCAUCCCAUAGUGUCUGCUAUUUUGGCAAGAACGGAACCCAUCUUGGUUAGCGAGCUCUACUCUCAACUCCUGAGUUUUGAGA